rnacentral:lncRNA from 10 species
CAAUUUUUUAAAACAAACAGGCUAGGAAAGGAAUUAAGUGUGCUCACUUAGGGAAAACAAAGGUAUUCGCCUCUAAAGAAUUAGAUAGGACCGUGGUGAAGAUGAAACAUAAAGCAAACCAUUUCUGCUACGUAGUGUGAAUUCUUAUCACAUGACUUGGGUCAUUCUUAUCAUAUCUAACUAAAACAGAGUUGAGGGGUCAGGGGACAAAGCACUCAGAAUGCCCCAGCUACUCGGGAGGCUGAGGCAGGAGAAUCGCUUGAACCUGGGAGGCAGAGGUUUGCAGUGAGCUGAGAUCGUGCCACUGCACCCCAGCCUGGGCAACAGAACGAGACUCCGUCUCAAAAAAAAAAAAAAAAAAAAGAAAGCACUCAGAACGCAUAACAUUGUUCCAGGAAUGUAAUUCUCUGUAAGCCCCGGUUGCUGAAACUGCCUUUAGUAACUUGAAACCAGUGGUAUCUAACAGCAACUGAAACAGCCUGUUGGGACUCUGAGACUAGUUUUACCCACCACCAUGCAUUCACCAAUCAGAGCUUGCCAGCUCCCCAAAACUUUACUAGUGCUAAUGAACUUUCCUGCAAAACAAUAUGCAAUAUUUCUCCUUUUUAGAAGACUUCCAACCUUCUCUUUUUUCCUUUAGACAUUGCAAAGACCACCGGGUCUGUGUGUUUACCCCCAAAUUCUAAUUCUUGCUUCCCGAAUACAAUGUUUUAAAUUUAGCGAUUUGUCUCUAUGUUUUAUUUGACUUUGAAAACAGCAAGCAUUUCAUCAACGGCAGUGGCUAGGGCAGGUUUUGCUGCUAAGUGGGAGCAGUUUCAGUAACAGACCAACAACUCUUCCCCCAAUUCUCUUGCUUUGGGGACAGACUGAUAAGCCAUGGGAAAAGGCCUCAGAUACAAAAGGAAUGGUGGAAACAGAUUGAGGCUGAGCGUUUGAGCACAUGUGGAAGCUGACUAACUGACAGAACUUUAAUUGUGGAAGCUGACUAACUGACAGAACUUUAAUUGUGUGUUGCCUUCCUGCUGUAAAUACUCUAAGUUGAUAAGAGAGGUUUAAUUGGCUGAACACUGUAAGUGGAAGUUGCCAAAGUUGAAUUGCAGCAAAGUGGGAACUGCAUGUAAACACAGUAUGCUUUGAAGCCUUUGUAAUUUAGCCUGUCACUAAGUGGAAAAUAAAAUAUUAAGUUUCCAGUUCAGCA